GCCGCUGUAGCCAAGAUGGUUAAGGCGUCGUAAGUACAGAUGGCGAAGGUCACUGGUUCAAAUUCAGCCUGCGGUG